rnacentral:rRNA from 1 species
UACAGGGGGGGCAAGCGUUGUUCGGAAUUACUGGGCGUAAAGGGCUCGUAGGCGGCCAACUAAGUCACACGUGAAAUCCCCAGGCUUAACCUGGGAACUGCCUUUGAUACUGACUGUCUUGAGUUCGGGAGAGGUGAGUGGAAUGCCGAGUGUAGAGGUGAAAUUCGUAGAUAUUCGGAGGAACACCAGUGGCGAAGGCGACUACCUGGCCCAUUCUUGACGCUGAGGCGCGAAAGCUAGGGGAGCGAACGGG